rnacentral:rRNA from 1 species
GAUGAACGCUGGCGGCGUGCCUAAUACAUGCAAGUCGAGCGAACAGACGAGGAGCUUGCUCCUCUGACGUUAGCGGCGGACGGGUGAGUAACACGUGGAUAACCUACCUAUAAGACUGGGAUAACUUCGGGAAACCGGAGCUAAUACCGGAUAAUAUAUUGAACCGCAUGGUUCAAUAGUGAAAGACGGUUUUGCUGUCACUUAUAGAUGGAUCCGCGCCGCAUUAGCUAGUUGGUAAGGUAACGGCUUACCAAGGCAACGAUGCGUAGCCGACCUGAGAGGGUGUUCGGCCACACUGGAACUGAGACACGGUCCAGACUCCUACGGGAGGCAGCAGUGGGGAAUCUUCCGCAAUGGGCGAAAGCCUGACGGAGCAACGCCGCGUGAGUGAUGAAGGUCUUCGGAUCGUAAAACUCUGUUAUUAGGGAAGAACAAAUGUGUAAGUAACUAUGCACGUCUUGACGGUACCUAAUCAGAAAGCCACGGCUAACUACGUG